AUGAAUUCAUGCAAUGAUCACGUGAUACAAUGUAAAAGUUUAAACACUGCAUCGGGACAGACGAUUCAACUUGUCGUCAAAUGGGCAUCCCGCCAAAUGAUGAUCCGAAACCAUGGCAAUGUCGACCAUUAUAAAUGCCCUACAUCACCAAAGAUCUGUACACUACCAGAUUGUCUGAGUUCUCCCUGUCAGAAUGGAUGUACCUGUAUGGAGACUGAUGACAGUUAUACGUGCAUCUGUCCGGGUGAUGGUAGCAAUGAUCACUUUGAAGAUAUACCCCGUGCUCAACGAAUAGGCCUAUGCCCAGAACUUAACCGGACCUAUCUUCUUGAUCUAAAAGACCUGAACUCAAAUCUUUCCGAACCAGUACAAUGUCAAAACGGUAA